rnacentral:sRNA from 1 species
GGAAGGCUGAGGCAGGAGAAUCGCUUGAACCCAGGAGGCGGAGGUUGCAGUGAGUCAGGAUCGCACCACUGCACUGCAGCCUGGGCAACAAGAGCGAGACUUCAUCUCAAAAGAAAAAAAAAAAGAAAAAGCUGCCCCAUCACAUCGCAUAGAGGCUGCUAUGGGAUUAGAACGUAGCUUGAGAUCUGCAGGUCAACAGGUCUCUCUGUUUGGCAUCUCAGGUUUUCCUCACAUAAGUGAAAGAUGCCUGGUAUGACCUAGUAUCGUUCUGCCUCCUUCCUCUGCCUGCCAGGUAUACAUGGACUGGUAUGAGAAGUUCCAGGACAGGCUCAACAAGAAGGUGGUACUCCUGACAGGCGAGACCAGCACAGACCUGAAGCUGUUGGGCAAAGGGAACAUUAUCAUCAGCACCCCUGAGAAGUGGGACAUACUUUCCCGGCGAUGGAAGCAGCGCAAGAACGUGCAGAACAUCAACCUCUUCGUGGUGGAUGAGGUCCACCUUAUCGGGGGCGAGAAUGGGGUAUGGGGUGACCUUGCAGCACAGAUGAGGGACUGGGACUGACCAAGUGACCUUGGCAUUGGGCCUAAUGUUUGGGUCUGAGGACGGAGCCUCGGGGCUUCUCCCCAGAGGAUUCUGCCUGCUGCCCUAUUCCAAAGGGACAAUGUUAACUUUUUUGGUAGUACUUUAGGAAAACAGUAUUAUUUAGUGGAGGUUGGCUGCUGUGGAGGAGGUAGAACCAAAGACAUGAGAGCUCCUAGUUAGAAGGAAGAAUGAGGUCAUUUUGAGGCUGUUGGGCUAUUCACAAAGGGGAUCUCCAGGCAGAGGAUGGGAGCCUCGGCCUGCAGUGACCCUCCCUCCCUCCCUCUUUCCAGCCUGUCUUAGAAGUCAUCUGCUCCCGAAUGCGAUACAUCUCCUCCCAGAUUGAGCGGCCCAUUCGCAUUGUGGCACUCAGCUCUUCGCUCUCCAAUGCCAAGGAUGUGGCCCACUGGCUGGGCUGCAGUGCCACCUCCACCUUCAACUUCCAUCCCAAUGUGCGUCCCGUCCCCUUGGAGCUGCACAUCCAGGGCUUCAACAUCAGCCAUACACAAACCCGCCUGCUCUCCAUGGCCAAGCCUGUGUACCAUGCUAUCACCAAGCACUCGCCCAAGAAGCCUGUCAUUGUCUUUGUCCCGUCUCGCAAGCAGACCCGCCUCACUGCCAUUGACAUCCUCACCACCUGUGCGGCAGACAUCCAACGGCAGAGGUUCUUGCACUGCACCGAGAAGGAUCUGAUUCCGUACCUGGAGAAGCUAAGUGACAGCACGCUCAAGGAAACACUGCUAAAUGGGGUGGGCUACCUGCAUGAGGGGCUCAGCCCCAUGGAGCGACGGCUGGUGGAGCAGCUGUUCAGCUCAGGUAAGUCAGGGUAUCACCAAGUGGUGGUGCUAGACUUGAGGGGUGUGAGUGGCAGUGUUUUCUCUACAGCAUACUAGACAUUUUCAAAAUACUGUUUAAGACUCUUGGCUGUUAACUCAUUUGAUCCUCCCAAGAACCUCGUGAGACAGGUGAGACAAACACUAACCCUACUUGCCAGGUGAGAAAACAGGCAGACACAUCAGGUUGUGCUAUUUCAGAACCUGGUUUUCUAGAGUCCAGGACCUUUGGCCACCAGACCACUGAUUCUCCAUGGAUACCAGACUCCCCAAGUGUAUUCAUCCAUUCUUGUAUUGCUAUAAAGAAAUACCUGAUACUGGGUCAUUUAUAAAGAAAGGAGGUUUAAUUGACUCACAGUUCUGGAGCCUGUACAUGAACCAUGGUGUUAUCUGCUUCUGGGAAGGCCUCAGGGAAGGCAGAGGGGAAGCAGGCAUCUUAUAUGGCAGGAGCCAGGACUGAGAGAGUGAGUGGGGAGGUGCUACACACUUUUGAACAACCAGAUCUUGUGAGAACUCACUCAUUAGACAGUACCAAGGGUGGGUGGUGCUAAACCAUUCAUGAGAACUCUGCCCCCAUGAGCCAGUCAUCUCCCACCAGGCCCUUCCUCCAACACUGGAGACUACAGUUUGACGAGAUUUGGUGGAGACACAGAUCCAAACCAUCUCACCAAGAUAGUUAGACUUUAGAGAUUAGCACAGAGGAGAGCUCUGAUUCUGCCUUGAGCUCACUCUUGCUGGCCACUGUCCCUUGUUGCCCUGUGGCAUUUUGUGCAAAGAUUUACGUUUUAAUGCUGUUUAUUGGAGCCUCAUUGAAGAUCCUUCUGCCAGAAUCACUUCCUGUCACUCUUUGGCCCUUGAAUCUGCCUGUUUGGGGCAUGCUUAGAGUGAUCUCCGUUUUGCUGGCAUGGCUGAGCCAGCCCAUGGCUGCAUGAGUGUUAGCACUUCCUGGUCAGAGGAGCAGUCCAUCAGCAGUAGUUUUGCCUUGGUGUUCCUGGGCUUUGGGUUCUGUUCUAUGAUGACUUGUUUUCUCCUGGAUAGUCCCAGAGCAAGGCACCAGUAGCAUGGAGCUACCUCAUAGCAAUGUGUUAGCUCUCAUUCAUGUUAAACCUUGCUCCUAGCCAGCCUUGCUGUGAGUUCUGAAACAUAGCACAGGGUAAGCCACAGCCUGCCCAUGAGGCAGUGAGCCUUCUUCACCCAGAGACCCCUGCCCUCAGCCUUCCUCUCCCCUCUACUGCUCAGGGGCUAUCCAGGUGGUGGUGGCUUCUCGGAGUCUCUGCUGGGGCAUGAACGUGGCUGCCCACCUGGUAAUCAUCAUGGACACCCAGUACUACAAUGGCAAGAUCCACGCGUGAGUACAACUGGUGCUCUGUGUUAGCACAGACCUCCUUCCUAAAAUGAAUGUGAGUCUGCAGAUACACAGAAAGUAAGCUAGGAUGAAGAAAAGGUGUUAGGGAAGUCAACAGCUGAGAUGCCACCAGAGCCAAGUGUUUGAGAGUUUUGUGUCUCAAUACCUAGGCUCACAUUUGCUUUUUAGUCAUUGUGCUUCCUUAUUCAGCAGCUGGGAGAGGUAGGAAGUUAGAGCCAGGAGGAAUGUUUGACGUUAUGUCAUUAACCUCAAAUAUCUUGUAGAUUAGGAAAAGUGACUUGGUCGAGGUCAUACACCUAUAUAGUGACAAGUAAGAAGCUAGAGGAGUGCUGAGCACAGUGGCUCACGCCUGUAAUCCCGGCACUUUGGGAGGCUGAGGCGGGCGGAUCACUUGAGGUCAGGAGUUCAAGACCAGUGUGGCUAACAUGGUGAAACCCCCGUCUCUACUAAAAAUACAAAAAUUAGCUGAGUGUGGUGGCAGGCACCUGUAAUCCCAGCUACUCGGGAGGCUGAGGCAGGAGAAUCAGUUGAACCUGGGAGGCAGAGGCUACAGUGAGCUGAGAUCCUACCAUUGCACUCUAGCCUGGGCAACAGAGUGAGACUCCAACUC